rnacentral:rRNA from 1 species
CAUCUUUCUACUACCCUGCAAGCCUUGUUAAUCUUUGUUGUGCUUGCAGUACUCUUAGGUGAUGUUCAUGGGCGACACCACUGCGAUACUUUCUCCUGUGGACAUCUCCAUAAUAUAUCACAUCCAUUCCGCCAGCAAGGGGAUCCACAUAGGUGCGGUGUUCAAUCAUAUGAGCUGGUUUGUACUGAUAGCAAGGCUAUAAUUCAGAUCAACACAGCGACAUACUUUGUCACUGAGAUCAACUAUACCGAUUCAUCCUUCUGGGUCGUCGAUGCCAACUUGGACAUGAACAGCAGUUGUCCUCUUCCUCACUGGGAUCAGCUUCCUUACUUCAUCGGGAUCCAAAGGUCAGACAAAGACCAGAGCUGGGAAUUGCUCCCUAAUACACAGACAGUGGGUAGCUUUGUGAAUUGCUCGCGGGCGGUGCCAGUAUCAAAUGAAUUUUAUCAGUAUUCCUACACACCGGUCCCUUGCCUGAGCAACAACCACUCUUUUGUUUAUAUAGUGACUAGCACUGUGUCUAUUGAAUACUUAGCGCCUUCUUGCGGGUACCUGGCCAUGUUUCUUUUGAGUGAUCCGGGUCCUGGUAACUACUACAAUUUCAGCCAUUAUGCAGAUUUUGUAAAACACCUGAGGCUUGGAUUCUCUGUUCGAUUCCCUCUGCUGGAUCCUGCAAUGAGUAUUAUUGGGCAAUUCAACCGCUGCCUCGACCGGUCGUUUCGCGUCCGAUAUCGUGAUACAGGCGACAACAUCGAGAGUUGGACCAUGGACAUCCUUCUUAUAGACUUCAAUUUCUGGUCAUGCAUAUUUGGUUUCAAUUUAGAUUCUAACAACAUACUUGAUUACAUGAGAGCCAUGAUUCAUGAUCAAUCAGGUCAUCAGAUUUUACCCCCAGUAUUUGCUCUGGUGAUUGCGACGUGGAUUGUUGUACUUUGCAGGUUCCUGCUAGCGCCCCUAGCAGUAUUGAUCUUCCUUGCCCAAAAUUACUGGAAAACAAGGAUCACAAUUGAUGCGGUUGAAAAGUUCCUCCAGAUGCAACAAAUGAUCGGGCCAACGAGGUACGCCUACACAGACAUCGUUGCAUUGACAAGCCACUUCAGAGACAAGCUGGGCCAAGGUGGUUAUGGCUCCGUCUUCAAGGGCGUGCUACUCCCAGGCAAUGUCAAUAUCGCUGUCAAGAUGCUUGAGGGCAGCUCCAACUACAACGGAGAAGACUUCAUCAGUGAGGUCUCCACCAUCGGCAGGAUCCACCAUGUCAAUGUGGUCCGUCUCGCGGGGUUCUGCUCAGAGGAAAUGAGAAGGGCUCUUGUUUACGAAUACAUGCCUCGAGGUUCUCUUGACAAGUACAUCUUUUCAGCCUAG